rnacentral:rRNA from 1 species
AGUGAACGCUGGCGGUAGGCCUAACACAUGCAAGUCGAACGGCAGCACAGUAAGAGCUUGCUCUUACGGGUGGCGAGUGGCGGACGGGUGAGGAAUACAUCGGAAUCUACUUUUUCGUGGGGGAUAACGUAGGGAAACUUACGCUAAUACCGCAUACGACCUACGGGUGAAAGCAGGGGAUCUUCGGACCUUGCGCGAUUGAAUGAGCCGAUGUCGGAUUAGCUAGUUGGCGGGGUAAAGGCCCACCAAGGCGACGAUCCGUAGCUGGUCUGAGAGGAUGAUCAGCCACACUGGAACUGAGAAACGGUCCAGACUCCUACGGGAGGCAGCAGUGGGGAAUAUUGGACAAUGGGCGCAAGCCUGAUCCAGCCAUACUGCGUGGGUGAAGAAGGCCUUCGGGUUGUAAAGCCCUUUUGUUGGGAAAGAAAAGCAGCAGGUUAAGACCCCGCUGUUCUGACGGUACCCAAAGAAUAAGCACCGGCUAACUUCGU